GGCAGUGUCGUCUAAAGGCUAGGAUGCGGCCCUUUCAAGGCUGAGAUGGGAGUUCAAUUCUCCCUGCUGCUACCA
rnacentral:tRNA from 1 species